AUCAUCAGAGUAAUCCAAGUCCCUGUUGGAGUCAGUCAGAGCAUUUCCAUAGAGAGCCACUUUGCAUCAGCAGCACCAUGCUCCAGUGCUCUGGGAGAGUUUAUAGUCCUGAGAGUUGAACACUGGAUGACUGACAGCUGUCCUUCAUGACAACAGAAGACACAGAAAUCCUCCUCAUCAAAAACAUGACUUUGAUCUCCGUCCUCAUCUGGACUCUCCUCUGCUUCACUCAGGGGUCUGUUGGACAGAAUGUUGUUGUGACUCAGCCAGCAGCCAAAUCAGUCCAACCGGGACAAACUGUUUCUAUUGAAUGUAAAGCCAGUAGACAAGUUACUCAGUACUCUGGUUCACAAUACUACCUGGCCUGGUACCAUCAGAAAACUGGAGAAGCUCCUAAACUUCUGAUCUACCUGACAUCAAGCAGACAAUCUGGAAUCUCCUCCAGAUUCAGUGGAAGUGGAGCAGGGAAUGGAAUUGACUUCACUCUGACCAUCAGUGGAGUCCAGGCUGAAGAUACAGGAGUUUACUACUAACCAACAGGUGGAUCA